rnacentral:rRNA from 1 species
ACGCUAGCUACAGGCUUAACACAUGCAAGUCGAGGGGAAACGGCAUUAAGUGCUCGCACUUUUUGGACGUCGACCGGCGCACGGGUGAGUAACGCGUAUCCAACCUUCCCAUGACAAAGGGAUAACCUGCCGAAAGGCAGACUAAUACCUUAUGGUCUUCACUGACGGCAUCAGAUGUGAAGUAAAGAUUUAUCGGUUAUGGAUGGGGAUGCGUCUGAUUAGCUUGUUGGCGGGGUAACGGCCCACCAAGGCAACGAUCAGUAGGGGUUCUGAGAGGAAGGUCCCCCACAUUGGAACUGAGACACGGUCCAAACUCCUACGUGAGGCAGCAGUGAGGAAUAUUGGUCAAUGGGCGAGAGCCUGAACCAGCCAAGUAGCGUGCAGGAUGACGGCUCUAUGGGUUGUAAACUGCUUUUGUAUGGGGAUAAAGUCAGUCACGUGUGAUUGUUUGCAGGUACCAUACGAAUAAGGACCGGCUAAUUCCGUGCCAGCAGCCGCGGUAAUACGGAAGGUCCGGGCGUUAUCCGGAUUUAUUGGGUUUAAAGGGAGCGUAGGCUGGAGAUUAAGUGUGUUGUGAAAUGUAGACGCUCAACGUCUGACUUGCAGCGCAUACUGGUUUCCUUGAGUACGCACAACGUUGGCGGAAUUCGUCGUGUAGCGGUGAAAUGCUUAGAUAUGACGAAGAACUCCGAUUGCGAAGGCAGCUGACGGGAGCGCAACUGACGCUGAAGCUCGAAGGUGCGGGUAUCGAACAGGAUUAGAUACCCUGGUAGUCCGCACAGUAAACGAUGGAUGCCCGCUGUUGGUACUUGGUAUCAGCGGCUAAGCGAAAGCAUUAAGCAUCCCACCUGGGGAGUACGCCGGCAACGGUGAAACUCAAAGGAAUUGACGGGGGCCCGCACAAGCGGAGGAACAUGUGGUUUAAUUC